UACGUAGGGCGCAAGCGUUAUCCGGAAUUAUUGGGCGUAAAGAGCUCGUAGGCGGUUUGUCGCGUCUGCCGUGAAAGUCCGGGGCUCAACUCCGGAUCUGCGGUGGGUACGGGCAGGCUAGAGUGAUGUAGGGGAGACUGGAAGUUCCUGGUGUAGCGGUGAAAUGCGCAGAUAUCAGGAGGAACACCGAUGGCGAAGGCAGGUCUCUGGGCAUUAACUGACGCUGAGGAGCGAAAGCAUGGGGAGCGAACAGG
rnacentral:rRNA from 1 species